AGAGUUUGAUCCUGGCUCAGGACGAACGCUGGCGGCGUGCUUAACACAUGCAAGUCAAGGGGGCCCAGCAAUGGGCAACCGGCGAACGGGUGCGUAACACGUGAGCAACCUACCGAACUGUGGGGGAUAGCCGGCCUAACGGCCGAGUAAUACCGCAUACGCUUUCGAUGAGGCAUUUCAUUGAAAGGAAACCUACGGGACAGAUCGAGGGGCUCGCGGCCUAUCAGCUAGUUGGCGAGGUAACGGCUCACCAAGGCGACGACGGGUAGCUGGUCUGAGAGGAUGGCCAGCCACAUUGGGACUGAGAUACGGCCCAGACUCCUACGGGAGGCAGCAGUGGGGAAUCUUGCGCAAUGGCCUAACGGCUGACGCAGCGACGCCGCGUGAGGGAAGAAGGCCUUCGGGUUGUAAACCUCUUUCAGGAGGGACGAAGCCACUCGGGUUAAUACCCCAGAGGGUGACGGUACCUCCAGAAGAAGCCCCGGCUAACUACGUGCCAGCCGCCGCGGUAAUAC
rnacentral:rRNA from 1 species